rnacentral:rRNA from 1 species
CGUACGAGGAUGCCUGUUGAAAUUACUGCUGCAGCAAAUGGAUAUAGAUCACAUCCUAGUGGCGAAAGGGUGAGUAACACGUAGGUAAUCUACCUCAGAGACUGGAAUAACUAUUGGAAACGAUAGCUAAUGCCGGAUGAUAUAUAGAAUGAUACGUUGUUCUAUAGUAAAAGGAGCCUUUAAAGCUUCACUUUGAGAUGAGCCUGCGACGUAUUAGCUAGUUGGUGAGGUAAAGGCUUACCAAGGCGACGAUGCGUAGCCGACCUGAGAGGGUGAUCGGCCACACUGGGACUGAGACACGGCCCAGACUCCUACGGGAGACAGCAGUUAGGGAUAUUCGUCAAUGGGGGAAACCCUGAACGAGCAAUGCCGCGUGAGUGAUGACAGUUUCCUAUGGAUUGUAAAACUCUGUUGUUAGGGACGAACGACCUGUAUAGGAAAUGAUACAGGAGUGACUGUACCUUUCAAGAAAGCUCCGGCUAACUACGUGCCAGCAGCAGC